GCCUCCCUAAUUGGUCCACACAUUACCCUUUUUUUCCAGUGUGAUCCUUUAUCCUUAUUUCAAAAACAUUUCUCAAAUCUCACGACCCUGGCGCGUAAUUGGUCCUCCCGCUAGAACCCUUAAGCUAGCUUGCAGUGGACGAAGAAUCCAUGGAGGAAAUGGCGGAUUGAAUCCCUUUUAUACUCUUCACGGAAAUUGCUGGUCUGAUCUGAAUUAGUGAACUAAAUCUUACAAGUUUCGUCUCUCCAAGCAUUUCUUUCUCAAUGGAUACUCAGAAACGAGUUGUCCGUCCAGAAAUGAGACAAGAAAUGAUUGAUUCUGAAUGGAUUUCAGAACAUAUCAAGAUGACGAUUUACAAAGCUUAUGCCAGUGUCUUGAACUCCAAAGCUCCCAUUAAAACCCAUAAGGGAUUCUCCCAGAUCAGGCCAAAGGGUGUGGAGAAAUGGAUUCUGAGGCUUAUGCAAGGGUUUCCAGACGGACUCGGGAGCUUCUAAACCUGAACCUGAAAACGUGACAGAGAAAGGGAAGAAAACGAUGGAACGAGACUCUACUUACCACAAAAGAAUUCGGUUGCCUAUGAGCUUUGGAUUACCCUUUACAGGACGGCUUUGGAUAACAGGGCAAUGGUGAAUGGCAGUGAGUUUAUGCAGAAACAUGAGCUCAUUUAUGCUGUUGACUUUCAUGUGUGCCAAUUGGGUGUAUCAAUUUGUUCUUGAUUAUCAUUUCUUCUGUAGUAGUUAUCUUUAUAACUUGUAAGCUAUUUUGGAGGUGAAGAUUGUUUGUCUUUAUACUGAAUUCCGAUAUUCUUCUUUUUUGGUAAGGACUGAAUUACGUAUUCAAAUGCCAGAAAAAGGGAGAGGAAAACAUUCCGGGUUUGGGUCUGGAAGUUCGCGGAAGGAGUGGUAUAAUUGAUGGAGUUAGAUCACAACAUUGAUAACGGAAGCAUUAGUUGAGAACUUGAGAUAUCAUAAUUGUCCACCAAAGUAUGACUUCUAAUUUUGUUUUGCCUCUUUUAUUAUUAUUUUUUAUUCUCUGUUGCUACAUCACUUUGGUAUUAUCUCAAUCUCCUUCUGUUAUACCAUUUAAGAGUCCUCAUUUGAUUAUUAUAAAAGAAAAUCUUAAACCUUCUUAAACUUGAACUCUUUGUUGAUGACAUCAACAUUUAAUGUUCACAGAGUAGUAACAACAGGUAGAGCUCUAAUAAUGUAACUUUCUCUUAGUUGGUCUCAUUAUUUAGUGUAACCUCAUUGUUUUUAAUUCAUUUUUACCCUAUAUGAUGUUAGUUAUUCAUCUUACUGCAGUAUGUGCAGUGCCAUGUGGUCGACUGGACUCACAUUGAGCAUUAUUCAUCUGUCCCUUGAAUGAAGCUUUUGAAAGGGAGCAGGCCCUAUCUCUUGAUAAAAAUUCAGAGGGAGAAAGGUUCUAGGCUGACUCACUGAAUUCCAUUGUAACAUAUAGCCAUAGGACCUCGAUAGUAUUGUAAGUGUUGGACCUUUAAAACAACUAAGAGUCAAGUUUUUGGUGACUUUGUAGGCUUCCCACUUUCAUGCAUGCCCUUUUCAAGUACAUUUCUUAUUUUCAUGCACAUUCUUUUCAUGGUAUAUGCUGACUAUUUUUUUCUAUUUGGCUCCAUCUGGUUGAAUGUAAAUGGAAGGGAAGGGAAGGGAAGGGAUGUGAAAUCAGUGGGAAUUUUUAUUUUUAUUUUAUAUUGAUUUGUUUUCACUUUUCUUCUCUUUGUCUCUUUGCAACCAGAUAGAGCCUUGUUGUUCUCAUUUUUUUUCCUUAUUGUAAAAAUUCUUAUUAUUUUCAGUUGUUCACGCCCUCCCCUCAAAAUUCUGGAGGGCAUGGAUGUACAAAGAACAAGUGGCUUGGCUGACACAAUGAAGAGAAAUGGUUAUCUCACACUAGCAAUAACUGAAUAUUACAGAAUACGGUUUUAUGAAGACAAGGUCCUGAGCACUGGGAAAUAUCCUCUUAUGAUCAAUUCAUCAAGAAGGAUGACCUUGACAAGAUGACUGUCAACAAUGUAUUUGCUAUCUAACUCAUGCAGGUUGUCAUGACAUGGAUGUUGAUUGAUACGCACGUAUAUAUUUCCUCCAUUCAUCAGGUUUAGGUUGGCUAGAAGAAUAUGAUUUUUACUGCCUCUUUUAUUUUCUUCCGUUUAAACAGUCUGUUCAUUUUGUAAGGUAAUACUCUUUUAUUUCCUAUUUUAUCUAUUGUGCUUCCUUUUGAUAUGUAAUUAUGAUAAUAAUUAUUGUUUAGUUUACUUCUUGAUCCUUCAUAGAUGCAGGUCCCACAAGUAACUGAGGAGGUUGCUGUGCUUGAUUUGUAUCCUACACUUGUAUCAUUUGUUCAUGUAUCUGGUAAGCAAAGUUUUUGUGGAGUUAAAGCAAAAGUUUCCUGGACCAUGCAUUACACUAGGAAAUCUAUAGUGUACAUACCUAGUUGUGUCACGUGGAAGGGUGAUGGCAAUUCCAACCAAUGGAUAUCCAGGGGAUGAUGUGGGACCUUGUGUCAAAUUUCAUACUCAAAUUCAGUCACAUAUGCUCCCAGCAUGUGCUCUUUUGGUUGCCAUGGAUUUUCAAUGCUUUCUUUGCCUAUUGGCCAAUUGGCCAACUCCAUUUGGGCUGAACCUUGGUGUCUCUUUUUCCAAAAACUGUUAGCCCCAUCCAACCCACCAUGCAGCAGAUAUUUGUGCCAGUCCAGAGAUAUCCUCUCGACUAUGCAGACCAGGAAAACUUUCCUGUAUAAAAAAUGAAGCAGAAAGAGGAAAAAAAAUUGUGAAAUGUACUCUUUUUGUUUUGUUUUGUUUUAUUGGCACAAAGUAAGAUGCGAUUGUUUUCUAAAGAUAUACAUAUGAGAAGUAGCUAUCUCUUCGAAGUUUUUACUCUUUCGUUCAUGGACUCUCCCUCCCUCGGCUGCCCUUUUCCUUAUUUUCAUAUGUGAUGGUAAUUAUUUCAUCUUUGUGAUUAAAGGGUUUUGAUACUAAUUUUCCAUCUAUUUUUCUGGAUCAUCAAAGCCACUUCUGGAGACCGAUGAUAUAUUUUUAAAUGCUAUAUGUUUAUAUGAGCAUUAGACUCUUAUGUUUUUCAGCUUGCAGUUGAUCCUUUGUCAUGGUCAGUGAAAGGUGCAAAACAAUUUUUUAUUUCUCCUAGAUCUUCUACUUGGAAGUUCUACACCAUCUAAUUUUUAAAUCAUUGGCCCUGGAAAUUCAACUGCCAUUUAGUUUGUUGAUGACGUUUAAUUACUCAAAUGUCACAAGGAAACUUCUUAUUUACCCAGAAUAUCCUACUUGGAGAUUUCAUCUGUAUUUUGUCCUUGGCCCUGGAAAAUUCAAAUGCAAUUUAGUUUGUGGAGGAUAUAUAAUUACAAGACAGAUGUCUGAGUAUUUUUUAUGAUAUGUAAUUGCCGGAUAGAUGCCUGAACAAUUUUGAUGUUAAGAGUACUUUUGAUGAUUUCUUUCUUUUAAUGAAACUCUGAGCUGUGUUCUCACUGUUAUCACUGUUUGGUGGAUUGCACAUGUUUGUUCUUUCUAUCUACCAAACCAAAGAAGAACAUUGUAUAUCAAAGUUUGAACUCAUCCUUUUACUAAAUUGCUUCCUCUAAAUUGAAAAUUUAUGGAUUUUUCAUAUCUCCCUCUUCAUGGUUUUGUGGAAAUAUGAUUAUCUCAUUAAAUUCUUAUGAGACAAUUGUAUAUAUUUUGGCAGUUGGAUUGAGCAUUGUACACAUACUGAAAUAAAUAUGGACUUAUGCAUGGAUUUAAGGGGCUGCUUGAUGAACAGUUUCAGCGGUCAUAUCUUCGCCCACAGGAGACUGAAGACGAGGAAGCAAGUCAGUGGGGAAGAAGUUGAAGUUGAGGGUUCCUUCACAAGUAACUAUUUUCUGGGUAACAACCUGCUUUUGGAUCGUAUCUCCAUUGACAGGUAACUUGUGAAGAGGAAGAAAAUCAGUAGGAAAGAAGUAGUAGAGAAGAUUUGACAUUGCAGGUUUGGUUGAAGCAGAGAGCUUAAUAGUAGGAGGAGACUUUGAAUUGGAUCGUUUGGUUAGAAGUGUCUAGAGAGCUUCUUCAAGUUUAUUUAUAGAGAGAGAAAGUGUCAUGGCGUGGGCUCUGAGGUAGUUUCAUUGACGGUUGUGGAGAGAACUAUGGAAUUGGAAUUGGAAUUGGAAUUGGAAACUCCGGAAAGGGUUGAGAGCAUAUUCUGUUACACUGAAACGCUAUUAGCGGGGCGAUGGGACCUACAGUUUAUGUGCUGUCAGGGAUCCUUCCAUUCUAUUGGCUAUAUAACCGCCAAUACCGAACCAUCUGUGUUUCAACUUUCAACAACGACCGUCGUUUUCGUUUUCCCUUUAGUGGGCCCACUUGAGCCCAUAAAACUCGAAGGAUUCACAGCGUUUUGAAUCUUUCUGUGAUAUUUUUUAUAGUAUUUAUAAGUCUUGUUUCCUAACUUCCCUCUGCACUUAUGUAGGUUUAGUAUUACUAUUUCUUAUUAUACAAAGUCGAUAUUACCCCUCAAUUGUUCUCUAUAUCUUUUUUAUUUAUUUAUUUAUUUUUUUUAUAUGUUAACGAAGAUGUCCGGGUUAACUUACAGGCACCUUGACUAAUCCUCCGGAAGACUAGUGCAGCAACCCAUUGCCACGAUCUCCACUUAAAUUGUAGAUGCAUUGAUGGAGAAUCGAACUUAGAACCGUGUGCCUAUCCACACAAUCUCCAAUUUGUCCUAACCAUCAGGGCAACCCACGGAUAGGUUACAACCCGAACCCGCCUUGAACCCGAAUAGGGCUUGGGCCAAGUUUUCUUACCCUGAGGGUGGGUUAGGGUUGAAAAUCCUCAACUCUGGGUCAGGGUUGGGUCAAACUCGGGUUGAGGCCUCAACCUAAUCCAAAUUGACCCAAAAUUUAACUCUAAAAUUUUUAUAUUAGAAUUUUGGGCUUCUAUUGGUAUUUCAAUUUUCUUUAAUAUUUUAGUGUAUUGGAUAUGAAUGACAAAAACAGGUCAAUCAAGGUUAAAGCAACCAUUGUUGAAGUUAGGGUUAACCCAAUUCAGCUUAGCUUGGCCCAACCCGGCCGUGAUAGGGUCAAUUAGGGAUGGGUUGAGUUGGUAUGAACCCAGUAGGAUUGAGUUGGGCCUGAGUUGAAUUUUGAAAAUAUAAGAUUGGGUUAGGGUUCUAAGAACGGGGCCCAACCUGGCCACCCCUAGUUACGAGUUACCCAAUUAAGGCAAUAACCCAUUAUGUUUUGGUUUUUUUUGGGCCUCAGGCUUCAGUUUGGCAUCCGUGAAUUGUGAUGCACAUGUGAAAGACCCAAAUCACCCUUCUUUCCAUUAUAACGUAAAUGAUUUCAAAUCUCUGGACGAGGAAUCCCCAGUGGCGGAUUGAAUCCUUAUCAUAGUCUUCGUUCAAUAUCUAGUUCUGCAAAUGCUGGCCUGAGCUGAAUUUAGCGAACUAAUCCUUACAAGUUCCGUCUCCUCUCCAACCAUUUCUCUUUCUCAAUGGAGACUCAGUUAUGUUGUAUGUCUCGAAAUGAAGAACUUGCGUUGCAUUUGUGGAAAAAAGAAGCAAGAAAUGGUUGAUUCUAAAGUGAUUUCGUAACAUAUCGAUAUGAAGCUUUACAAAACUUAUAUCAGUGUCUGCAAUUCCAAUGCUCCCAUUAAAACCCUUUAAGGACUUCUCUCAUAUCAAGUACAGUUAGGGAUUUACAGCAAUUUAAGCUUCUCUUACGAUUUUUCUCUGGACUAUAUUUCUGUGUGUUUUGGUGGAGUUAAAAUUAGUCUUGAUUGUGACGGACUCGGGUUCUUCUGAACCUGAACCUGAAAACGUGACAGAGAAAGGGAAGAAAACUGAAGGAACGAAACUCUACUUACCACAAAAGAAUUCAGUUGCUUAUGAGCUUUGGAUUACCCUUUACAGGUAUGAUCCACAAACGACUUUGGAUAACAGGGCAAUGGCGAAUGGUAGUGAUUUUAUGUUGAAAUAAGGACUUUCAUGUGAAGCCCGAAGGGGUAGUUGAGUUGGCAAGGGACCUUUGCCUCAGGAAGCGUUUGGUUCUGAGUUCGACUGCUUUCAGUGAAAGUUGAAUGACUCUCAUUCAACCCCGGUAUGACCCGGUCUAUGUGAUUGUGAGGUCAGUAUGGGCCCGCGGGGCUAGUCAGCCUGUCGUUAGCAAUAAGAAAGGACUUUCAUGCAUGUUAAUUGCAUGUGUCAUUUGUUCUUUAUUAUCAUUUCUUCUAUAGUAGUUAUCCUUAUAAGUUUUAAGCUAUUUUGAAGGUGAGAUAGUUUGUAAAAGGAGCAACCUAAUGCACGAGGUUCCCGCUGCUACAGGGUCUGGGAGGGGCAAAUGUACGCAACCUUACCUCUUGCUUCGCAUGAGAGGCUGUUUCCAAGGUUUGAACCAGUGACCAACAUAGUUCAAUCAUGCAACUUAACCAUUGUGCCACAGGCUGACCCAAGUUGUAAGCUAUUUUGGAGGUGAUAUAGUUUGUCUUAUACUGAAUUCCUAUAUUGAAAUGCCAGACAAAGGGAGAGGAAAACAUUCCAGGUUUGGAAGUUUGCCGAAGGAGUGUUUUAGUGGAUGAAGUUGCAUGACAACAUUGAUAGAGAACGGAUUAAUUGAGAUAUGUUAGUUAUCCAGUAAAGUAUGACUUAUAUUAAUUUGGUUUUGUCUCUCUUUUAUUAUUAUAAUUUUUUUUUGUCUAUCCCUACAUUGCUUUGGUAUUAUCCCAUUCUCCUUCUGUUAUACCGUUUAAGAGUCUUCAUUUGAUUAUUACAAAAAGAAGGAACUUAAACCUUCUUAAACUUGAACUCUUUGUUGAAGACGGCCACAUUUUAUGUUCACAAAAUAAUAACAGGAAAGCUAACUUUCUCUUGGUCUAUAGAUAUUUAGUGGAAGCUCAUCUUUCUUGAAUUCGUUUUUGCCCUAUAUGAUGUUAGCUAUUCAUCUUACUGCAGUAGGUGCAGAGCCAUGUAGUUUAUCUCUUUUCUAUCUUCAAUAGAGUUGCUUAUGGCAGAAAGCAGUUACUAUAGGUAGUACUGGACUCACAUUAAGUAUUAUCCAUCUCUUCUGUGAUUGAUGCUUUUGAAAAGGAGCAGUAAUUUAGUAAGAAUGUAGGCAGGUGCCAUUGGCCCUAUCACUUGAUAGAAAAUUCAGAUGGAGUAAGGGUCUAUGCUGAUUACCAGAGUCCCCAUCUAACAUCUAGGAACUCAACAGUAUUGUGCCCACAUUCUUUUUUUUUUUUUGAGCCUAUGGAAGGUAAACUUAUAUAGAAAUUUUGAACUUGGAGUUUUGCUCAGCAUGUUAAGUCUCGAACCUUCGAAAAAUUAAGAUUCAAGUUUUUGGUGACCUCCUACUUUCAUGCAUGUCCUGUUCAAGUUCUUCCUAUUUUCAUGCACAUCAUUUUCAUGGUAUGUACAUAUACUUUUUUUCUCUUUGACUCUGCCUGGUUGCACAUGAAGGGAAAGGAAUGGAAGUAAAAUCAGUUUUGAAAAGAAAAUGGAAACUUUAGUAAUCAUAACUGUGCAACUUCCUUAAACUCUUCCAUAAUAUGGUAAUUGUAUUUUUCAAAUUGAAUAUUUAUUUCACUUAUUAAAACUAAGGAGUUUGACUGCAAAAUGUAAUAAAAUUUAAUACACAAUCCUAUGAGAUAAUGCUUACAACAGUUCCACUUUAUUUGAUUUGAUCUGAUUUCACUUCCUUCCCCUUUAUUUCCCUUGCAACCAGAUUGAGCCUUAUUGUUCUCAUCUUUUUCUUAUUGUAAAAUCCACUUAUUAUUGUCAGUUGUUUCAAAACCAAAACACCCCCCCACACCCACCCCCCCCAAAAAAAAUAAAAAAUAUGGAGGGCUUUGAUGUGCAGAGAACAAGUGGCUUAGCUGACACAGUGAAGUGAUAUGGUUAUCUCACAAUAGCAAUAACAGACUGUUACGGAACACAGUUUGCUGAGUACAAGGUCACGAGCACUAGGAAAUAUCCUCUUAUAGUGAAUUCAUCAAGAAGUGUGAAGACCCUGACAAGAUGACUGUCAGUGAUGUAUUUUUCUCUCCAACUCAUGCAGGUAGGUGAUAUAAAUGCCCAAGAAGAGAUGCUGAGGAAUCCAAGUAACAAUCUGAUUGGUGAAGGUGUGCUAGCAGGAACAUCUUCCAAUUAGUUGGGGUGGUUGGUGGAUUGCACAUGUUUGUUCUUUUAUCUACCAUACCAAAGGAGAACAACAUUGUAUAUCAAGAUUGAAUUCAUCCUUUCACUAAGUUAUUGCUUCCUCUAAGUUGAAAAUUUAUGGAUUAUGAAGAUCCCCGUCUUCAUGGGUUUGCGAAAAUAUGAUCAUUACAUCAAACUCUUACAGGACAGUUGUAUUCACCAUUGUACACAUACUGAAAUUAUGAUUCUGAUGCCUCCAAUGUGUUGUCUCUAAUAAGCAAAUCCAAUAGUUAUCUAAA